GGCAGAAUGCUUAACUUGCAUUUUGGAGGCAGAGCUACAGCUCUCCUGGGGUAGGGCUGGGAGCGCUGCAAUCAAGACUCCUGCCCUCAGUGUGAUAGGAGAGGCGGAGGGGAAAUGGUUUUCCAAGUCCCUCCUAGGAGCUCUGCAUUUCCAAGUGAGGCAGGCCGGCUUGGCAGGCCCUGCUGCCGAGCGUGGGCUGGAACAGAAACCCCUCCUCAGCCUGUCCUGCAGACAGGAGGUACUGGGGGCCGCAGGAGCUGCUUCGGGGCGUGACUCUUUCUGCCUCACAGAUCCAGGGUCCUGAGGAUGCAUUUGUGCAUCAGGACACCUCAGUGGAGCCCCACAAAAGCAGCCACAGUCCAGAGAUGGGGCAGCACCAGGGCCCAGCCACCACAGCGAGCAAUGUCCUGUUAAAUGUGAGCAGGAGCGUCCUCUUGUUCGAGGAGCUCACAGGAAAGGCUGGAAAGCCAAUACCCAGUUGUUUUGGACAUGGAAUUCACAGAAGACAGGAUGGUUUUGCUCCUGCUGACUGCUUCCAACAGUGGUUUCAAGGAUGUGCUCUGCUGUUUUCCUCUAAGCAUAACUUCAGUGACCUCUUCUAACAUUCUCAAAACUAAGGUGAAGGUGAUGCACCAUCUCAGAACAGAGGUGAUGAUUUAUUUUGCACAGCAGCUGCUGGGAGGCAGAAAAGCUGUAGACCCUGCCAUAAAUCCACACUGUCCAUCUAUGGUGCCCAGUUAUGAAAAGAG